AACGAACGCUGGCGGCAGGCCUAACACAUGCAAGUCGAGCGCCCCGCAAGGGGAGCGGCGGACGGGUGAGUAACGCGUGGGAACGUACCCUUUGCUACGGAAUAGCCUCGGGAAACUGGGAGUAAUACCGUAUGUGCCCUUCGGGGGAAAGAUUUAUCGGCAAAGGAUCGGCCCGCGUUGGAUUAGGUAGUUGGUGGGGUAAUGGCCUACCAAGCCGACGAUCCAUAGCUGGUUUGAGAGGAUGAUCAGCCACACUGGGACUGAGACACGGCCCAGACUCCUACGGGAGGCAGCAGUGGGGAAUCUUAGACAAUGGGCGCAAGCCUGAUCUAGCCAUGCCGCGUGAGCGAUGAAGGCCUUAGGGUUGUAAAGCUCUUUCAGUUGGGGAAGAUAAUGACUGUACCCACAAGAAGAAGCCCCGGCUAACUCCGUGCCAGCAGCCGCGGUAAAACGUGUGUGUA
rnacentral:rRNA from 1 species